rnacentral:rRNA from 1 species
GAUGAACGCUGGCGGUAUGCUUAACACAUGCAAGUCGAACGGACUCUUCGGAGUUAGUGGCGGACGGGUGAGUAACGCGUGAGAAUCUGGCUUUGGGUUCGGGACAACCACUGGAAACGGUGGCUAAUACCGGAUGUGCCGAGAGGUAAAAGAGAAAUUGCCUGAAGAUGAGCUCGCGGCUGAUUAGCUAGUUGGUGAGGUAAAGGCUCACCAAGGCAGCGAUCAGUAGCUGGUCUGAGAGGAUGACCAGCCACACUGGGACUGAGACACGGCCCAGACUCCUACGGGAGGCCGCAGUGGGGAAUUUUCCGCAAUGGGCGAGCACCUGACGGAGCAAUACCGCGUGAGAGAAGAAGGCUCUUGGGUUGUAAACCUCUUUUCUUAGGGAAGAACAGAAUGACGGUACCUAAGGAAUCAGCAUCGGCUAACUCCGUG